AUUGAACGCUGGCGGAAUGCUUUACACAUGCAAGUCGAGCGGCAGCACGGGGGCAACCCUGGUGGCGAGCGGCGAACGGGUGAGUAAUACAUCGGAACAUGCCCAGUCGUGGGGGAUAACACUUCGAAAGAAGUGCUAAUACCGCAUACGUCCUGAGGGGGAAAGCGGGGGAUCGCAAGACCUCGCGCGAUUGGAGUGGCCGAUGUCAGAUUAGCUAGUUGGUGGGGUAAAGGCCUACCAAGGCAACGAUCUGUAGCUGGUCUGAGAGGAUGAUCAGCCACACUGGGACUGAGACACGGCCCAGACUCCUACGGGAGGCAGCAGUGGGGAAUGUUGGACAAUGGGGGCAACCCUGAUCCAGCCAUUCCGCGUGAGUGAAGAAGGCCUUCGGGUUGUAAAGCUCUUUCGGCAGGAACGAAACGGUGAGCUCUAACAUAGCUUGCUAAUGACGGUACCUGAAGAAGAAGCACCGGCUAACUACGUG
rnacentral:rRNA from 1 species